UUAAGCGAGUUUCUGUUUCGGCUGGUCAAGAAUAAUGCUGAUCCUUCUGUUCUGCGGUGGAUCUUGUUGCAAGUUGAUGAAACAAGACAGCGAUGCUCCACGAGGUGUUGAGUUCAUGCUUAUCUAGAUGUUACCUGGACUGAGUGUGCUUCUGUAGGUUAAGUCAACUCUUUCCUCUCUCUUAACAACUUGUAGACACUGUGUCCUAGGGAAAACAUAUAUGAGAUGUAAUCUGAUGUAUCCUAUGCUUUCAUGAAUUUUCUCCCUGGGGCUAUGGCCAAAUCGAACAUGAACCCCCGUGCAUUCCAUUUUUUUCUCGGGAUCAACUGCAACAUGACGGAUAGGAAACACUAAUUAGAUAUAUUAAUUUAUCUCCUCAUCCAGUACCCGUGAAGACUGCACAUUCUAACAGUUGUUUGUUAUCAUAUGGGCUGUUAGUAGGUUAAAACAGAAACCUGCAGUAUUAAGCGAGAUAGACCGGCCAAUCGAAGUUGUUCUAUAUUUUCUUCUCGGUGAAAUUAGGGCACAUUGUCACUUUGUGUCCAAGACAGAAAAAAGAGUUAACUUUCUCUAUUACCGCACCUAGACUAUCGGCCGUGCAUUCUGUUUUCUCUCUCUCUCGAACAGCUGAAAAAUGACACAUAGGAAACACUAAUUAGAUGCAUUUAUCUCCUUAUCUAUAUUAUGAAGUACUCUUGAAGCAAUAAUUGGAUCUUACUGUAGGUGGAUGAAAGUUGCCAGUCUACUCCAUGAGGUUCAUGCUUAUCUUGAAGCUGACUGACCCAUAUUAGCAUUGAACACAUCUUUGGAGGUAGCAGAGACAUACCAGCACAGCAACAGUGCUUCACGGCAAUUGGGGCGAAGGUGCAACUAACGGAACCAAAUUGACAGGCUGUUGGAAGGUUGAUGAAACAAUACAGCGAUGCUCCACAGGUGCUGAGUUCAUGCUCAUCUAGAUGUUGCCUGGAAGGUAUCAUGUCUGAGAGUGUUUCUGUAGGUGAAGUCAGCUCUUCCCUCUCUCUUAACAACUUGUUUUUUGAAUUACAACUCUUAGCAUAUUAGGUGCACUGGCCAUAUGAGAUGCAAGCUGAUGUAUGUAUCCUAUGCUUUUAUGAAUCUUUCUCCCUCGUGCUACGGCCAAGUCGAACUUGUACACCCGUGCAUUCUAUUUCUUUUUCUCGAAUAGCCGAAACAUGACAGAUAGGCAAUACUAAUUAAAUAGAUACAUGCAUGUAUCUCAUUAUCCUAUAUUAUGAAGUAUUUGUGAAGACACUUCUGCUUCGGUAGACCCCCCUUAAACACAUUAACGAUUGAGAUUACUCCAUACCCCUUCAUAAUAAAGGGCACGAUGGUUAUUUUGAAAGUAUAUCACCUUCGAGUAUUACCGAGCACGGAUACGGUGCACAACUGGGCCGGCCUACCAGGCAAGAGGCCACUUGCCAUUUGAGUGCGCGAGGUAAAAAUGCUGGGAAAAUUAGAAAACAAGAAUGAGGGGUCGAACUCAUAACCUCAUCCUUCAGUUUAGGGGAGCAAGCCACUGGACUACGCCACCACUGCUGAAAAUGUAAAUCACGAAAUAUACUAUUAUUUGCUCCUUGUAGUACUUUGUACUCCUCAAGUUUUUUUUUCCUUUUGAGAAUCUUUGUACUACUCAAGUUGUUCAAGGGUUCUGUGCGUCUAUAUUUAUUUUGUGUGGAGGAACGUAGAAAAGUACUACGUGGAUACAUGUGCAAAUCUCAAAUCGAUUUGUGCAAGCUAUACUUGUACACGUGUGCGCGCAUGUCAUUUCUGUUGAUUUCUUCGUCAUAGAUUCAUGGAUAUAGUCUAGUGUAUGUGUAUGUAUGUCCAAACAGCCAUUGUAUCAUGUAUGUAUGUUCCCAUUUUUUAUAAUUUUGUUCCCAAAUUUAAAAAGUUGAUAAAUUUUUAAAAAAGUACAUAGUAUGCAAAUUGUCUUCAAUAUAAAUUAUUGGGAAUUUGUUAACAAUUUUGAAAAAAUGUUCAAUUUUAUAAAAUUUCCAUACACAAUUUAAAACUUCAAAAUUAUUGACAAAAUUUCAAGAAGUGGUUACGAUAUGAGAAAAUAUUCAUGUUAAUUGAUAAUGACGAAAACUGCAAAUAACUAAAGCAUUCAAAUUAGGAAAAAUUACAUGCUUAGAGAUCCAUCCGUCUGGCCUAGUCUAACACACUCCUCUCAACUGGUGUUUUUUUGGACCAUGGAUAAGUGACUCCAACUUCUGGCAGUAGCCUGGCACGAACAUAUGAGGCAUCCGAGCCAGGUUUAAACGACUUCCGACAUUGUUUGCACGUUGCCAUACGUCCGACAAGAUAUCAUACCCUUUUCACCGAGAAAACUCCAGAAAAUACAAAAUUUGUCAAGAAUCCAAACAACUUGGCAUAAUGCCUUGAAUUGGUCACAUAAGUUUGUGAAAAAAACUGGGGCCAUUUGACAGAUGUGAAAAGACAAUGUGCUUUAAAACAGGCUCUUCUAGCUUUACGAAACACCCUCCGUUGAACAUGAUCUAGUUUUGGACAUUCUUAAAAUGACCUCAGCUUUUGCAAGUAGGUGGAUAUACCCGUGGUAGACAUCCAUGCCUAGUUUAAAUGAUUGCCAACACCAUAUGCAAGU